GUCGAGAAUAAUUCACAAUGGGGGAAACCCUGAUGGUGCAACGCCGCGUGGAGGAUGAAGGUCUUCGGAUUGUAAACUCCUGUCAUCUGGGAGUAAGACCUGACGGUGAAUAGCCGGCAGGGUUGAUAGUACCAGAAGAGGAAGGGACGGCUAACUUCGUGCCAGCAGCCGCGGUAAUACGAAGGUCCCAAGCGUUGUUCGGAAUCACUGGGCGUAAAGGGAGCGUAGGCGGCGUGGUAAGUCAGAUGUGAAAUCCCGGGGCUCAACCCCGGAACUGCAUCCGAUACUGCCAUGCUUGAGGGUUGGAUAGGUAGCUGGAAUUCUCGGUGUAGCAGUGAAAUGCGGGGAUAUCGAGAGGAACACUCGUGGCGAAGGCGAGCUACUGGACAACAUCUGACGCUGAGGCUCGAAGGCUAGGGGAGCAAAAGGGAUUAGAUACCCCAGUAGUCC
rnacentral:rRNA from 1 species